rfam:Burkholderia latens strain AT17928 chromosome 1, complete sequence.
CCGCCCUUAGCUCAGUUGGAUAGAGCAACGGCCUUCUAAGCCGUAGGCCGCAGGUUCGAAUCCUGCAGGGCGGG